CAACUUUAACAUUUGCUCAUUAAACCAUUUUCCUAAAACGUUUUCUUUCUUCUUUCUUAAUUUUCUUCCCUAAACUUAACCUAACAAUUUGGAAAUCUCUUUUCUUUUCUAGAUCAAUCUCAAGGUGGAAAACAAGAGAGGAAUUUUACAAUCUAAACUCGAAAAAAGCCAGACUUUCUCUUAUCUUAGGCAAACAAAUAGCGGAUGAAACAUACCCACUUGGAAAAUCGCUCUCAAACAAACAUAUUGUUGAGUUAGCUUCAAAAGGUGAUCAAAUGAAUGUCGUUUUGACAUCUUCUGAUGUUUCUGUUGAUGGGUUUUGCUUAAACCGAUGGGGACACAUGGAUCCAAAGCCGACAACUCUAAGGGUUGGUCGAUCAUGAAGGUUUGGUCACCUUGGUUUGGCUGUGAAUUUGAUUACUUAUGAAGACCACUUUAACUUGUAUAGGAUUGAGCAAGAACUUGUGACUGAGAUUAAGCAAAUUCCUCCACAUAUUGAUCAGGCAAUUUAUUGCCGGUAAUUUGUGGUAGAAUUCUUGUCCUUAAUUCAACAAUUGCGAGUAGCGAGAACGAGUAGCAAUGAUUCUUGGGACAGGCAUGUUUGCCAAAAUGUGGGACGUUACGGUAGAGCAUGCUCGGACAUGUGUACUUGAUAAGAGACUAUACUUGCAUUUUGCUCCCAGUUCUCAACAAAAAAGUGGAGUGGUCUUUAAUGUCGUGGGACAACUAACCGGACUACUCUCAGACUGCCAAUAUGUUCCUAUUGAUAAGCUGGCGGAACCUGAAAAGGUUGGGUUGUUGGGCAUGGGAAGGACUUUUCAAAGAGACCUCAAUCGAAUUGCAGAAGUUGCAGAUACAUCCUCAUCAGAGGGUUUGAUCUAUGUUCUGACAGCAAAUGCUCUUGUGAGAAAUGAUACUGCACUUGAUGUUGCUAGAAUAAAGGAACAUACCACUGUUGUUCGUGCUAUUGAGUUGUCCUUCCGAAUGUGGACAGAUCAAAUACAGGAAACAAUUAACUGUAAGAAACACGGAGAUGCUGCAUUUUGAACUAAAGACUUUGCUACAGCCAUUGAUAAUUAUACACAAGUGGAAGGUGCCGGCAGUGCUGAUCAGCAGGGUGCGGGUGUAAGUGGAGAUGGGAAAGUUUCUGCUGAUGGUAGUGGAGGGAAUGGAAGAGAUUCUUCAUAUUAAAGAUAUGAUAUUCAACAAGCUGCUAGAUGGAUUGAGCAAGUUCUUCCUUUUUCUUUGCUUCUAUUGGUUGUUUUCAUUCAGCAUUUGCAAGGAGUAGUAGUUCUUGUUGAGUAGACUCAGUAGAUCUAGCUUUUGUAAAAUGUAUUGCUCCGAUGCUAUUUGAUUGAAUAGGCGACAUGUUGAAAAUACAACAAGAUUUUGCCAAAAGGUGGAAAUACAGCAGAGCUGACAUCUAAGUACCGUCCAAGGAAGGAGAUAUGAGAUUCUGUUGUAAAGGUGGCAAACUCCGAAAUAUGCAAAAAUGAAGGGGUUUUGCAAGGGAGGAGAUUCUUCAGUGAUUAAAAGUUUGCUUGUAGAUUAAUUAAUUAUAGUGUCAGGAUAUGAUUUUGAGUCGAGUCAACAAGAUUUUGUAGCAUCUAAUUGUGCUGGAACUUUUUUUCUGAGUGAUUUUAAUUGAGAGAACAGCUUCACAACAAAAAGAAACGAGGAAAAUAUUGUUAUCUGGGUAAA